rnacentral:rRNA from 1 species
UACGUAGGGUGCGAGCGUUAAUCGGAAUACUGGGCGUAAAGCGUGCGCAGGCGGUGAUGUAAGACCGAUGUGAAAUCCCCGGGCUUAACCCUGGGAACUGCAUUGGUGACUGCAUCGCUCGAGUAUGGCAGAGGGGGGUAGAAUUCCACGUGUAGCAGUGAAAUGCGUAGAGAUGUGGAGGAAUACCGAUGGCGAAGGCAGCCCCCCUGGGUCAAUACUGACGCUG